UGAAGGGAGGGCGGGAUCAGUGAAAACCACGUGAUCAUCCACGAGUGCGGUGCAGAGUCGCUGAGAAAACCGGAACGGCAGAUGCUGGAGAAUCCGAGAUAACACGGUGUGCAGCUGGAUGUACACAGCAGGUCAAGCAGCAUCAGAGGAGCAGGAAAGCUGACGUUUCGGGCCUAGAUCCCUCGCUGAGACCAAGAUUUGUGCAAUUGAGAUACCAGCGAUCGUUGCCAAAGCCCUGUUACCUGUGGAGAAGGUGAUGUUUAACUUUCGUGUGCUACUGCAGUUUGUAUGAUAAAGGUGCUCUCACAAUGCUCCAUUUGAGAAGUUACAGAUCAUUCAUCUAGCGAUACUGAAGAGCUAAUGGUGAUAUUACAAGUGGACUUUCAGGUAGGAAGCUCAAUAAUUGUAACACCAAACUCUGACAGAAUUACUCAAUUCAAUCAGGACCUGGAUAUUCGCAUUGUGUAUUUCCACAAUUUUACUUCUGCACUGCUCUUACUCUUUCAGAGGGAUCGAAAGGUGGAGUUACAGAUCUAUACAAUGACUGUCCUUCCUCGCUGGCUCUCCCAAUUCUCUCUUUUGGUAGUUUGAUGCAAACACUGACUGGAUCCCUUACCUGGAGGAUAUUUAUGAAUGAAUUUGUUCUAAUGGUGAUCCAGCAUAUUCCCCAAGUGUUGCUGCACACAUGUCCAGAGAAUUUCUCAGUUUCACAAUCUGUGUCCUUCUGGUUUCUUACUUACUUUCUCUUUGAAAGUAUAGUCUGCAGUUGGAGAAUUUAAACAGGCCCACAUCCAGGUCUGACGGUCACUUUGUUUAUCACAACCCAAUUUUCUCAGGAUUUUGAACAUUGAAGGAAAAAGCAGCACUCACAUUGGGGAGAAAUGCACAUGGUGUGUGUGUUGAAGAGUCUGUGAAGAUUCAUCUGAAAUGUCCAAACACCAGUGCAGUGACACUGGGAGACAGUGUGGAAAUGUGCAGAUUGCAGGAAGGAAUUUCUUCAUCCAUCCCAGCUAGAAACUGACCACCAGAGUCACACUGGAGAGAGACCAUUGACCUGUUCUGCGUGAGGGAAAGGCUUUGCUGACUCGAAUUCCCCGCUGAUACACCAGCGAGUUCACUCUGGGGAGAGACCUUUCAUGAGCUCUGUGUGGGAAGGGAUUCAUUGUCAUCCAAACUGUUAACACACCAGCGAGUUCGCAGACAACCACAGUUGAAGAACAUUGCUGUCACUCUCACUAUCAAAUAAACCAUGGUGUUGGGCUGUUUGUACAGAUGUUACCGAUACCUGCUCAAUUAAAGGUGCUGGUAUUGUGAAUAAAAUGUCACACUAACAGUUGUGUAAGGUAGAGCUUGGAAAUAGUCACGUUGUCACAACACAUCGACACAUUCACACUGACUAAAGCCUAUCCACCUGCAUGAUAUGUGAAAAGGGAUUUCCUGGUACAUUCCUGGUUCCUGGUUAAUGACCAGCAAAUUUCUGAAUAAGUUGAUUGGUUUGAAUAUAGCUAACAGUAGAAUCAAAAAUAGUAUCAGUGAUAAUGGGAACUGCAGAUGCUGGAGAAUCCAAGAUAACAAAAAGUGUGGAGCUGGAUGAACACAGCAGGCCAAGCAGCAUCUCAGGAGCACAAAAGCUGACUUUUCGGGCCUAGAGAAGGGUCAAGGCCUGAAACGUCAGCUUUUGUGCUCCUGAGAUGCUGCUUGGCCUGCUGUGUUCAUCCAGCUCCACACUUUGUUAUAGUCGAUUCAAAAACCAUGUGUUUUGGGCUUGUUUCUGGAGAUCAUAGAAUCCCUCCACUGUGGGAGCAGACCACUUAGCCCAUCAAGUCCGCACUGACCUGACGAAGAUUGUCUUACCCAGACACUGUCUGCGUGAGUUUCCUCCAGAUGCUCUGGUUUCCUCCCACAGUCCAAAAAUGUGCAAAUUAUGUAGAUUCACUAUGCUAAAUUGCCCAUAGUAUCUUGUGUGCAAAAUGCAGGGAUAGGGUAGGGUGUGAGACUGGUUGGGAUGCUCUUUGCAGGGUUGAUAUUGACUGAAUGGCCAUCUUCCACACUGUAGGAAUUCUGUGAUGAUCUCGAUGGCCCUUUAUUUGUUAGAUAGGUCUGCACACCUUUACAAUGACAGAUUCUGUUGCUCUCCCACAGACAUUUGUUUAUUGGAAACAAUGUAAUCUUUCAGUUUGUGGAUAAAAAUCAAAGGAAUGUUUUAAAUCCAAACAUAGGAUUGGGUUGAGUCAUGUCCUAUAAUCCCUGAUUUGCAUUUUCCCCGUCGGCUAUGAAACCUGGUGACCGCUGUGACUCUGCCUGGGAGCAUUGCAGUCUCGUCAGCUCUUUACCUGGUGUCCAUAGCAGUGAUGGAUCUCAUGACGGAAACAUAAACCAAAACAUUGUGUGAUUUCUAGUACAUAUUUUCUAUUUAGUCUUCUGUCCAUCACUUCCCUAGAGGCUGAGAUACUGGUCUGGGGACCUAGGUGUGAAUCCAUCUGGAAAUAAGAAUGUGAUGAUGACUGUCAAUCCAUUGUCUUUGUUGGAAAAACCCAUCUGUUCACCGAUGGCCUACAGGGAAGGAAACUGCCAUUCUUAUCCAGUGAUGUGAUCAUCCCAUGAAUGAAUUUUUAAAAAAAAUUAAAAACUCCUGCAAAUACGUUAAA